rnacentral:rRNA from 1 species
AGACCCGAAACCCGGUGAUCUAGCCAUGGGCAGGUUGAAGGUUGGGUAACACUAACUGGAGGACCGAACCGACUAAUGUUGAAAAAUUAGCGGAUGACCUGUGGCUGGGGGUGAAAGGCCAAUCAAACCGGGAGAUAGCUGGUUCUCCCCGAAAGCUAUUUAGGUAGCGCCUCGUGAAUUCAUCUCCGGGGGUAGAGCACUGUUUCGGCUAGGGGGCCAUCCCGGCUUACCAACCCGAUGCAAACUGCGAAUACCGGAGAAUGUUAUCACGGGAGACACACGGCGGGUGCUAACGUCCGUCGUGAAGAGGGAAACAACCCAGACCGCCAGCUAAGGUCCCAAAGUCAUGGUUAAGUGGGAAACGAUGUGGGAAGGCCCAGACAGCCAGGAUGUUGGCUUAGAAGCAGCCAUCAUUUAAAGAAAGCGUAAUAGCUCACUGGUCGAGUCGGCCUGCGCGGAAGAUGUAACGGGGCUAAACCAUGCACCGAAGCUGCGGCAGCGACACUGUGUGUUGUUGGGUAGGGGAGCGUUCUGUAAGCCUGUGAAGGUGUGUCGUGAGGCAUGCUGGAGGUAUCAGAAGUGCGAAUGCUGACAUAAGUAACGAUAAAGCGGGUGAAAAGCCCGCUCGCCGGAAGACCAAGGGUUCCUGUCCAACGUUAAUCGGGGCAGGGUGAGUCGACCCCUAAGGCGAGGCCGAAAGGCGUAGUCGAUGGGAAACGGGUUAAUAUUCCCGUACUUGGUGUUACUGCGAAGGGGGGACGGAGAAGGCUAUGUUGGCCGGGCGACGGUUGUCCCGGUUUAAGCGUGUAGGUGUGUGUUCCAGGUAAAUCCGGUUCACUUUAACACUGAGGCGUGACGACGAGGCACUACGGUGCUGAAGCAACAAAUGCCCUGCUUCCAGGAAAAGCCUCUAAGCAUCAGGUAACAUCAAAUCGUACCCCAAACCGACACAGGUGGUCAGGUAGAGAAUACCAAGGCGCUUGAGAGAACUCGGGUGAAGGAACUAGGCAAAAUGGUGCCGUAACUUCGGGAGAAGGCACGCUGACACGUAGGUGAAGUGAUUUACUCAUGGAGCUGAAGUCAGUCGAAGAUACCAGCUGGCUGCAACUGUUUAUUAAAAACACAGCACUGUGCAAACACGAAAGUGGACGUAUACGGUGUGACGCCUGCCCGGUGCCGGAAGGUUAAUUGAUGGGGUCAGCGCAAGCGAAGCUCCUGAUCGAAGCCCCGGUAAACGGCGGCCGUAACUAUAACGGUCCUAAGGUAGCGAAAUUCCUUGUCGGGUAAGUUCCGACCUGCACGAAUGGCGUAAUGAUGGCCAGGCUGUCUCCACCCGAGACUCAGUGAAAUUGAACUCGCUGUGAAGAUGCAGUGUACCCGCGGCAAGACGGAAAGACCCCGUGAACCUUUACUAUAGCUUGACACUGAACAUUGAGCCUUGAUGUGUAGGAUAGGUGGGAGGCUUUGAAGUGUGGACGCCAGUCUGCAUGGAGCCGACCUUGAAAUACCACCCUUUAAUGUUUGAUGUUCUAACGUGGACCCGUUACCCGGGUUGCGGACAGUGUCUGGUGGGUAGUUUGACUGGGGCGGUCUCCUCCUAAAGAGUAACGGAGGAGCACGAAGGUUGGCUAAUCCUGGUCGGACAUCAGGAGGUUAGUGCAAUGGCAUAAGCCAGCUUGACUGCGAGCGUGACGGCGCGAGCAGGUGCGAAAGCAGGUCAUAGUGAUCCGGUGGUUCUGAAUGGAAGGGCCAUCGCUCAACGGAUAAAAGGUACUCCGGGGAUAACAGGCUGAUACCGCCCAAGAGUUCAUAUCGACGGCGGUGUUUGGCACCUCGAUGUCGGCUCAUCACAUCCUGG